AUUGAACGCUGGCGGCAUGCCUUACACAUGCAAGUCGAACGGUAACAGGUUAAGCUGACGAGUGGCGAACGGGUGAGUAAUAUAUCGGAACGUGCCCAGUCGUGGGGGAUAACGUAGCGAAAGCUACGCUAAUACCGCAUACGAUCUACGGAUGAAAGCGGGGGAUCGCAAGACCUCGCGCGAUUGGAGCGGCCGAAAUCAGAUUAGGUUGUUGGUGAGGUAAAAGCUCACCAAGCCUGCGAUCUGUAGCUGGUCUGAGAGGACGACCAGCCACACUGGAACUGAGACACGGUCCAGACUCCUACGGGAGGCAGCAGUGGGGAAUUUUGGACAAUGGACGCAAGUCUGGUCCAGCAAUGCCGCGUGCAGGACGAAGGCCUUCGGGUUGUAAACUGCUUUUGUACGGAACGAAACGGUGAGCUCUAAUACAGUUUGCUAAUGACGGUACCGUAAGAAUAAGCACCGGCUAACUACGUGCCAGCAGCCGCAGUAA
rnacentral:rRNA from 1 species